CUUUAAGGGUCCUGAAGGAACGUUGAAGACGACGACGUUGAUAGGUCGGGUGUGUAAGCGUAGCGAUACGUUGAGCUAACCGAUACUAAUGAACCGUGAGGCUUAACCUU
rnacentral:rRNA from 2 species